CAUCCUACAUUCCAGUUUCUACCACAAGAGUUGUAAAUAUUGAACAGAUAGGGCUUCAUCUUCAAGAUGACAAAAGACAGCACCAACAAUAAUGGGCCAGGACUGAGGAGUUCCAAGAAAUGAGUAUUCUUCAGCCCACAAAUAUCAGUGCUGCCUCGCUGCCCAAAACCAGAGUGUGGCAACAAGUAAAUGGACCUUGACAAAUGUCCUCUUUGUUAGAGCCAGUCCCUUACACAAGUGGCCUACUUUUGCACAGCUGAGGUUGUUAUCAAACGCAGCAGUAGGUAUGAAAUGCGGAAACUGUUCCAACUUGAUCUUCAACAGUUGAGUUACUCCUCUUCACAAUAUUUGAACUGAAAACAAUCGGUGACGAUAUUGCACUUCACUUCUACCUCACAGUGCUCUUCCCUAUAAACGCUAGAGGAAAGUUUGAAAAUGAAAAACUUGUCAUUGCAAGUGUGAAAGGACCAAUUGAUUCUUAACGAAACAACCUGCCUCACUGCUUUAGCUGACACUACAUCAAGUCAACACAAGGCAAUUUGUUUUUCUCGCAACCCGACCGAUAUGUUUAAUCUGAUCAAAAUUGUACACAACCACUGGUAUUCGUUAAAGUUAUACAUAUUGUGUGUAGUGUAGGUAAGAUCAAUGUCAAGGUUAUUUUGGCUAUAAAAAAGGAAAAUGAUUCUUGAUUCAUAACAUCGAUGAAAUAGCAAGCCUUAAGUAUUUUCGAUAAAGUGAUACAUAUAUUUUGUGGUGAUGUCAUAACCUUGUUUCACUGUUUUUGUAGAGAAAACACAUGUUAUAAAUAUAUUAUCACAUUUGUGUUUUUUUUAGCUCGACUAUUUUAAGAAUAAGGUGGGCUAUACUAUUCGCUCUGGUGUCGGUGUCUGGUUCAAGUUUUAGGGCAAGUUGGGAUUUUCACUUAUAAGUCCAAUACUUUUCAUUCAAUUGACUUAAUACCUCACACAGUUGUUCAGGGCCAUCAUAUAAUGGGAAUAGAUAACUCCUUUAUACAAGUUAUAAUAAUAAUAAUAAUAAUAAUAAUAAUAUCUUUAUUUUAAGAAGGUGACAUAUUAAGAUCAUGUACAAAACUACAGAAUCUUAUUUUCGAUAUGGCCCUCUGAAACAGAAUGAAAAUAUGGCAAAUAAUCAUAAGACAAACAUGAAGACGAUGCUAACAACGAUGACGAUGAUGAUGAUGAUUAUAAGUAUGCUGUUGAUGCUGACGAUAAUGAUGCAUAUGAUGACAUGAUGAUGAUGUUGAAUCAAUAUUAGACAGAUACUCUCAGUUAAAUAUAAAUAUGAAUAAAACAUCACAAUUUGUAUAAUCACAAGUUUCCUAUGAGGUACUGUUUGACCUUUAUUUUAUACGUAUUAAAGUUUUUUGAUUCUCGUAUUUCCAAAGGUAUAUUAUUCCAAACAAUUCUGCUGUAAUAUGUAAACGAUGCUUUCAUAUAACAGCAGAAUUGUUAUGGCCCCUGAUUGACUAUCAAACUUAGGUUAAUGUUUUAGGGCAGGUUGGGAUAUUUAUUAAUAACUUCUCUACCAUUCGUUCAUUUAACUUAAUACUUGACACAUUUGUUCAGGACCAUCACACAAUGAGGUUGCAUAACUCUGUAUUAUCCUCAAUACAAGUUAUAGCCGCUGAUUGACUUAGGUUAAAGGUUUAGGGCAGGUUAAAGUUUUAGAACAAGUUGGGAUUUUCACUAAUAAGUCCAAUACCCUUCAUUCAAUUGACUUAAUACUUUACACAGUUGUUCAGUGCCAUCACAUAAUUAGGUAAGAUAACUCCAUAUCAUAUUUUAUUCACACAAUGGCCCCUGAUUGACUAUGGAACUUAGGUUAAAAUUUUAGGGCAGGUUGAUAUAUUUAUUGAUAACUUCUAUACCCUUCAUUCACAUUAUCCUUAAUACAAGUUAUGGCAUUAUCCUUAAUACAAGUUAUGGCCCCUGAUUGACUUAGGUUAAAGUUUUAGGGCAAGUUAAAGUAUUAGGGAAAGUUGGGAUUUUAAUAAAAAAGACUUCUAUACCUUCAUUCAAUGCACUUAAUACUUCGCAGAAUUAUUGACGACCAUCUUACACUAAGGAACAUAACUUCAUGUUAACCCUAAAUACAAAUUAUUGCCCUUGAAUGUUUUUUUUUCUUCUCUUCUUUUAAUUUCUUUUGAAAGGCACAUUUUUAUAUUCCUAACCACAUUUUCAUAAAGGGAAAACAAGAUAUUUGAAUGACCUGUGUCAUUGUUCGGGCGGGCUGGUGUUAGAGCAGCGUCAAAGUCACCUUAUGUAUCGAAUAAUUUUAGUUAGGUUUGACAUACAGAGACCAAACUUGGUAUAUGCAAAGAGUUUAUGGAGACCUUUUAUGGGAAUGCGUUUGAGGCCCCUAUGAUCAAGGUCAAGGUUACAAUUAUUAGACAAAGGGUUGGUUUUGACUAACUUAAGUAAGGGUCUUCUAAUUAGUACCAAAUUUGGUAUAUAGGAAGAGUUUAUAGAGACCUUUCCUGAGAUUGUGUUUUUGGCCCGAGAGUUAUGGUCUAGGUCAAGGUCAAAAUAGAAAUAUGGUAAGUACUGAAUAACUCAAGUAAGGGUUGACAUAGUGUGACCAAACUUGGUAUAUAGGACAAGUUUAUGCAGAGCUUUAAUGGAUGCUUUUUGGCCCCCUAGGGUCAUUGUCACUGUUACUAAAAAUAGAUUACUGUUUCAGUUAAGGCUGACAUACUGUGACCAAACUUGAUAUGUGUAGGAAGAGUUUAUAGCGCGGACACGAGUAUGUGUACUCUGACAUUUAAAUAUCUCGUGUGACUUUGAUCUUUGAGUUAUGGACCCUGGUCAAUGUCACUGCUCAUCGUCUCAAUGAGGACAACAUUUGUACCAAGCAAUAUGGUAAUCCAUCAAUGCAUAAGUAAAUUAUAGCACGGACACGAAAUGUUACAGCCAGACGGACAGACAGACUGAUGAAGUGUUUCUGUAAUCCCCUCCCCACUCCGUGGCGGGGGAUUUGAAAUUUGAUAUUUAUAAAAUAGUGUACUUCCAUUUUUGCCAUUGUUGUGUUUUACCAUUCUGUCAAUAUGUUAAGUGACAGUUGUGCCAAUAUCUUACAGUCACAAUAUAUGACUUUACAGAAUCGUAACAUUAUUUAAUAACCUCAUCAUAAUGAUUACUUAUCUUCCUAUUGUUUUCUUAAAUGUUCUGCAAUUUCAAUAAUUAUUUACAAAACAUGUUCCUAAAAUCAGAGACAUUUGACAGUAUUAUAAGAAUUCUCAUUCAUUGUUUUGUCUAUCUGAACACUGGUGUUUGCAUAAUGCUCUGUAGAUAUCACUAUGCUUUUGCUAAGUUUAAUUCCCAUUAAUGUUUAAAUUAAUUUCUCAUAUGUACAUAUAUAUUUAACAAUGUUCUGUUUUUCAACAUCUCACUUAAACAGUUACAAAAUGUUAAUUUACAAGAAAUACUUGUAUUUUUAUCACUAUGUCAUUUUGCCAUGUCACCCUUCUUUACUACCUGUUAUGCUUAAAGCUGCACUCUCACAGAUUUACCAUUUGUACAACUUUUUAUUGUUUGUCUUGGAAAGCGCAAAUUUUGUUUUAAUAUCCGCAAACAAAUGAUUUAAGAUUACUGACAAAAGAUCAAAUCACACAUUUUCAUAUUUCCAUUUGAAAAUUAAUGUCUUAUGGCUUAAGCUGUUACUAACAGUUAAAGAAAAUUGCAUAAAACAUCAUUUUUUGAACUUAAGUAUAAAAAUCUGCAAUCUUUUUUGUCAGCUGUCUUAUAUAACUGGUUUCAAUGGAUUUUCGCAAAAUAUGGCUCGUUCUAGGUCAAAAAAUGAAAAAGUUGUCAAAACAUUCAAUCUGUGAGAGUGCAGCUUUAACUCUGAUGAAUAUAUCAUUCAAUGUCUCUUUUAUAGGCACUGACUCUCCAUUUACAAACAUUAGAAUUCAUAAUGCUUAAAAAAGUAUGCCUGUUACAACUUCUCAACUUACCCUGCUUUUUUUGCAUGACCCUUAACCAUUCUAUUGUGUGUUGUUGUUUUUCAUUUUCGUGAUUUAUGACUUUUCAAACUUUAAAAAAUAAUGGCCUUUUGGCUAUCAACCAUAUCAGCAAUGCUUAUACUGAUAAUAUAAAACUCCAGGCAUAUCAUUUAUAGUUUUGGGUUUGAAAACUUUCAACUUUUAAGUUAGUAAAUCAUUUAACAAAUACACCUACUUUCAACCCAAUUCAUUCCAACAUAACAACUGAAACUGAGUCUUUUUAAGCCCCCCCCCCAUGAAAAAGAUAUUUAUCACCCUAUAAAUAGUUUCAUUCAAAUACUGUGCAUUUGCAUACUAGGUACAUAUUACUAGGUUUUCAUGCAUUUUUAUUUAUAUUCUUUUCUUCCAUACCUGUUCUAUUUCAUUGCUUAUGAAAUAGUACCAGCAUGUAUUUUAGUAUUCUAUUAAUUUGUCUGUGUGCAUUCUUAUUCCAAGUAUUGGUCGCACUUACACCAAAUUAUAACAAAUAUUCUUUCUGUUGUUAAUUACAUUUCAGUACAACUCUACCAUUCCCAGCAUACAUACUAACUCUGUAUUUUUUGUUAUCAUGCUUAUUACUCUUUGUUGUAUACAAAAAGUAUAUAAAAUGUCAUAUUGCUCAUGUUCUUUCUUGUUUGUACAUAUGUUCACAUUUCAGUAAUACUCAAUGCAGUAUUUAUUCUUAUAUUUCAAUGUCAUAUUUUAAAGAAUUGAGAAGUUUUACAGGCAAAAUAACAUUAACACAUUUCCACCAAACUUAGUACAAAUACUUCACUUUUCGUGUAUUAAAACAUAUUCCUCACUUCAUUUCAUUGUAACCUAUGAUUUUCAGCACUUUCUUCAUAAAUCUUUUGUGUCAUUAUAUUUCCAUACACAUUAAGUGAUCAACUUCCUUGUCAUACCACUAUCAACCUGCAUCACAUUCUGCUCAUCAUUCUUAUAUCUUAUGCCUUAAAAGUGCAUAAUGCAUGAUGAUUACAUAAUGUUUAUUACCUAUAAGUGUAAACUUGUUUCCUUUGUUUAAAACAUCCUGCAUGCCUAUAAAUCAUCUACGCCACAGAACAAGGAAAAUGACAUUAAUAAUGAUGACAGACUUCUUUCUUUCAGCUCAUGUAUAACCAACUUCUUUUAGUUUAUGUUAAAUGUAUUUUUUAAUUGUGUUAAAAUCUGUUACAUUAGCAAACAGUUUUAUGUGUUUUUCAGUUAGAAACGAUGGCUUUGUAACACUUAAUUAUAACGGUCAACUUGUUUCGCGGAUUAUUAGCCAACAGUAAACAUUGUUUUAAGCAGAUGUCCUUAAUUAGUUUUUUUGGAUAAACCUUUGGUGCUACUCCUGUUUAAAGUCAAUAUUUCACCAAAGUACUUCAAAUUCUCAACGUUUCGAACUUUGCCCAGAAUUUACCAAAUCAUGUUGGCAUAUUUAACAUUUCAGCUAUCAUAUCAGCCACUCCAAAAGAAAACCACCACUGUGGCCAUGUUGUCUUUUAUAAAUGUGUGUAUAUUGAUACAGUUCAUGAAUAAAGUUAUUUGAUACAA